CUAUUCUUUUUAAAUUUUCUGUAUGUAUAUGGAAAAGCAGAUUUAAUAAACACAAAUCUAACUGCAUGUUGGAAACAGCUUAAAUAUAUCCAACUAUUUUGGACUUUUCCUAGUUUUAUAUAUACUUUGUGAGAUGGACCACACCAAAGAAUUAAGCUAUGAACUUUCCUUCUCUGACAAUCUAGGUAUUUUUAUUUCUUGGAAUCUAUUUCAAAUCUAGUACCCUUCACAGUUUUAUCAUGUUUUUCUAUAUGGCAGCCCGGCCAUAACUAAAUUGAUAUAACUAAAUUGAUACCUUUUUUAGGCAUCAUUUUUAAGAACUCAGUAACUUCAUAAGAACAGUGGUUGGGCAUUUAUUUGGUUGGCACCAAUAUAAUAAAACAAAUUCUAAAUUAUGAUCUUGUUGAGUAAUUCCUGGAUUAGGAAUGGGGUAGGGGAAAGAAGCCCCACAGUAGGGUAGGCAGAGGUCCCCAUAGCACCACACAGCAUUACUUGGGAGCUUUUCUCCAUCUGUGGAGGCAAUGAGGGACACCAGGCCCAAAGUCUGAGGCCUUCUCAGGUCUUGCAGUUUCCACCCUUCAGUCCUAGCUCCUGGAUCUUUGUUGGUGUAAAUAUGGAAAUGCC
rnacentral:lncRNA from 1 species